AUUGAACGCUGGCGGCAUGCCUUACACAUGCAAGUCGAACGGCAGCGCGAGAGCAAUCCUGGCGGCGAGUGGCGAACGGGUGAGUAAUAUAUCGGAACGUGCCCAGUAGUGGGGGAUAGCCCGGCGAAAGCCGGAUUAAUACCGCAUGAGACCUGAGGGUGAAAGCGGGGGAGUCGCAAGACCUCGCGCUAUUGGAGCGGCCGAUAUCAGAUUAGCUAGUUGGUGGGGUAAAGGCCUACCAAGGCAACGAUCUGUAGUUGGUCUGAGAGGACGACCAGCCACACUGGGACUGAGACACGGCCCAGACUCCUACGGGAGGCAGCAGUGGGGAAUUUUGGACAAUGGGCGCAAGCCUGAUCCAGCAAUGCCGCGUGCAGGAA
rnacentral:rRNA from 1 species